UACAGAGGUCCCGAGCGUUGUUCGGAUUUAUUGGGCGUAAAGGGUGCGUAGGCGGCGGAGUAAGUUGGGUGUGAAAUCCCGGGGCUUAACCUCGGAAUGGCAUUCAAUACUGCUUCGCUUGAGGACUGGAGAGGAGACUGGAAUUUACGGUGUAGCGGUGAAAUGCGUAGAUAUCGUAAGGAAGACCAGUGGCGAAGGCGGGUCUCUGGACAGUUCCUGACGCUGAGGCACGAAGGCCAGGGGAGCAAACGGG
rnacentral:rRNA from 1 species